rnacentral:miRNA from 1 species
AUAAGAAAGCAAUGCUCAAA